UAGAGUGUACAUUGUGCAGUGCGUCGUCAAGUUUUAUUUUGAGCUUUGAGUUUUAUUAAUCCUAGUUCGUAGUGCUUCUCCUAAUCAGCUCUUUUUAGAGCUUUAUAUUAUUCAUUUAAGUUAUUUAUCAUUCCUAAAUACAUCUGUGGAACAAGUUAACGACGAUAAUACGGCUCGCUACGCCUCGGGCCUUUACCCGGCGUUUGCCCGCCAUAUUGAAUUACUAUUCUCUUUGUGUCGUCAUCGUAUUAUCAACUGCCUUUGUUGUGUUAUCGCAAUUAAUUGCUGUUGCGUAUUGCUUCUACUCGUUGACAACAUCUAAAUUCUAUCAUGCCUCGAGACCCUGGUUUUGAAUCUCAUUUCCAACAAUUUUCCUCUACCUCAAGAUUCUAUCGAUAGCGAUAUGGAAAUCGAUCCUUCAAUGGAAAUCUUUUCGACACAACAGCCCAAACAAAAUCAUUCGUCUGACAUCCAAACCUCUUCGAACACAGUCGAUUCCAAGAAUUCAAAUUCCAAAACUCUCAAGAGACAAAUACACCAAGAGGAAGUCAUAGUGCAACCCAAAAAAUUCAACACUUCAAAACAGCUUCCAGAUACGGCAAUGAAUAACAAAUAUUCUAAUUGUUGCCAAGGCCCGUUUGAAAUUAUCGUCACUUCUGUAGGAGAGGUUAACACCUCUCUUCAUCCUCUCACAGUGGGCCGUCUCCUCAGCUCUACUUAAAAAAAAAGAUAUCAUUGAAAUCAAGAAACUUGGUUUUUCUAAAAUAUCCGUAUUAUUCAAAUCUCGCGAGGCUGCUAAUAAUAUUAUCAGUAAUCCUAUUCUUAAAUCUAAUAACCUAAUAGCCUACAUUCCUUCUUUCAAAGUCUCGAGACAAGGAGUAAUUAUAAAUGUUCCACUUGACCUCACGGAAAGCUUGAUCAAGGAUGAAAUAGACUGUCCGUUUAAGAUUUCCUCUGUGCGGAGGCUUAAUAGAAAAGCAAUUGAUCCAACAACAAGAUCGGUCCUAGGGACUUGCUGACUUCCGGCUGAUUUUGCACAUACUCCCGAGGUAGUGCGAGUUCAGUAAUGCAUAUGGCGGUUCGCGGUUUCGUAAUACGUGAAAUAUUGAAUCGGAAAAGAAGGAAAUAAUAAUAACAAUAUGUCAUUAAAUAAAUAUAAAAUACUUGAAGAAAGUACAAAUAAUACGUACGAAAUAUUUUUAACAACAACCGAUUACGAGAAAGCAUUAGCAGAUAAAAAUUUUGUUUCUCGAGUAUUAAAAAAUAUAAAAAGAAGUGGAAUGAGUCCAGAGAAAGGAGAUGUUGAAGAUGUUAUGUGUGAACCAGAACAAAGUUAUAAUAAAGAAAAUAAUUCAAAUAAAAACUUUGAAGAUGGUGAAAAUUUAGAAACAGCUAUUUGGUCUACAAAUGCAACAUUGUUAUUUCUGGCCUUAUACCAAGAAUAUGCACCAGACAUAGAUAAUGGAAAAUGCAGUGAAAAACUGUUUUCCAAAAAAUAUCUAAAAAAUUAUCAGAAAGCCAAUUUGUUGU